CUCCAGGCUCUGAGCUGUCAUCACAGAGCCCGACAAGGGGCUUGAACUCACGAACUGCGAUAUCAUGACCUGAGCUGAAGUCAGACACUUAACCGACUGAGCCACCCAGGCGCCCCAGCACUAUCAGUAUCUUAAACAAAUUCACAUAGCUAAAAAUGAGAGUUGCAUGAUUAUUGCAUGAGGAGCUAACUGCCCAGACUGGAAUACAUGCUCAUAUUACAUGAUUAUGGUAGAAAAGUUUGGACAGGUGGGACAAGAAUCUUAGACAGAUAUUGUAGGUAGGUUUGUAUUCCAAGAAGCAGAAGCCUUUCUAGGUGUUAGAGAAAAGGGCCUCAUGACAAAAAAAAAAUGGUAUUUUUCAAAUGCCAUCUCACUUGUGCAGAGGUUGGAAUGAAAUGAAAAAGACUGUUUAAAGGGAAGUUUCAGCCAAGAGGAUUUAGUUAUAAUUCAAAUAUAAUUAAGAACUCAAACUCUGUGAGCAAAACUGGAAAGCCACAAAUGUACAAAGGAAGAAUUAAUUCCACCUAGUCCCUUCACCAAAUGAGAACAGGGUAUGGAAUGGCAGAGUCAAAGAAACUUAAAGUGCCCCUUAAUAAGGUUAUUGAAUUUAUUUAUUAUUUUUAAUUUAAGAAAGGGAGAGAGAAGUUACAAUGUACUGUAGACUCUUCAUUUAUUUCAAACACACAGCAUAUGUGAACCAUACAGGUCUUGUUUUGCUUUGUCACAUUGGCUAGAAAGAGAAGCAUCUGUUUAGAUAGACACUAAUUUUUCCAUCUGAUGACUUAUAUAUACUGUGGGACUAUGGGGAUUGUUUUCCUAUUAUGAAUAACUGCAAAGGUUCAUGGUAUGUCUAUAUGGAAUCAUGAAGUCAAGUUGAAACCCAAGUCUUUAUCUUCUACACCUUUCCUGCUGUACACAAAAUUAUUUUCAUUUGAAUGACAUAAUUAGUACAGAGUAGAACUUAGGUAGAAAUUAUAACAUGAUCAAUGAUCUCAGAGCACUGAUUGCUAAAUGAGAAAACAGUCUUAUUUUCUGUUUCUCCUAGAAGGAUAAGCCAGGUGGGCAAGACAUUUUGCCAACUCUGCUUCACCAAGUUACCCCCCAAGCCCUUCAAUCCUAGUAGCUAAAACUACUUUAGCAAAAGAACUUCACAGUGAUUAAUUUGAUCUCCCUUCCCACCACUUGCAAAAAUAUUCUUUAUCUAUCACACAUUGAUGCUCUUUGAUGUUAUACAAGAAGGAGUUUGUGCUUGGUAAAUGGUAUUACACAUUCAUUUCUAAACAUAGUGUCUGGGAAAAGCUGUUGAGUUUAUCAAAAAUAGGAAAGACUUUUACAUUUGGGACUGAGUCAUGUAGAAGGAAAUUGCUCAGUGUUGGAAGUGAUUGGGGAUAAGGAGUACUAUCCCUUAACCUUGGUUCAUUUUUCUCCUAACACUUGAUCCUCCCCUUAGGUAAUUGCUUAUUGACUGCUUGUUGAUCCCCCACUGCUAGAAUGAAAGCUCUGUGAGGGUAGGGAAUUGGGCAGCAUUGUGGAUAUUGUCUCAAAGAAUCUAGUCACAUCCUAGAUGUGAGUCCUACAGGCAGGCCUAAUUUGUGUGCAGUUGCUAAAUUGUAACCCUCUAGGGAGUGGUGUGUGGCUUUAAUAACCAUGAUUUCGAAGGGAAUGCUAUUGUUUGCAUAUUUAGAUAGAUAAUUUAAUUUUUCUGUUUUAUACUCUAAAUGAAAUAACUCAGGAAAAAAAUGAAGAUCUGGGAUUUUCCACUUUAAUAUUGUGCAUUGACAAUAUCUUUAUAAUUUGGUGUUAUAAUUAUUCUUACAGGACAUUCCAUGCAAAUGCUCUUACAUGGCUUAUUUUGCAUAGUCUGAGAGCACUUACAAAAUCAGUUUUUAAAACUAUAAUAAGCAGCAGUCCAAUAAAAAUGUGUUUAAUCUGACUUAAAACAUAAGUAGAUUCUCCAGUUUUCCUCUUGCUUUCAUAAAUAUUUGCAAGUUGCCUCUCCAGUCUAAGAUGUCCCAGAGAAUUCACUACUACCCAGGGUAUGUAUCUACCACCCAUCUGCAUGGAGUAAGGUGACUGGUGAGUAUCAUAGACUGUAAUACAUUAAAAUGGCAAUAAACAGGAUAGAAAUGAAAGAACUGGAGAGCAAAUAGAGUAACAUUUUAUUUCUAAGAGCUAGUAAAUAUGUACAAGAAUAGAGGCAUGCUGGUGAUGAAAAUCUGUUGGGGUGUGUGUGUGUGUGUGUGUGUGUGUGUGUGUGUGUGUGUGUAUUGCUUCUUGAAUCAGGUGGGUAAAUAAUGAUAAUUAUUUAAGAGUUUCUUCCAGAUUCUCCCUUCCCACAGGACCAGUUUAGAUAGAUCUGCAUGGUGUUGUGUCUUAUCUUGUUUUGUUUUACUUACAAAACACUGCUCCCCUUUGAAUUUUCUUGACUCUUAUUUUUAUCGUCCCAAAGGACAAUUAGUCAUGCCCCUGAGAAGCCCAGUUCAAAGUGUAAUGUGUCAUUAUACUGAUAGUUUUUUUUUUCUUUUCUCUUAAUAUCAGUGGGAAAAAAUCUAUCUUAGUGUUCUGUCAGAUCAUUGCUGCUUUAUGUCUUUGACUAAAAAGUCAUCAUCUUUUUCCUUCUUUUAAGAAAAAAACCGAAACUAUAUUUAAAGUCAUUUAAUAAAUUCAACCGAGUUAAAAAGAUAUAUUAGUUCUACUCAGGAUUGUUUACCCUGAUGGAGACUUACAGCAGAAAAAAAAACCCACAAGAAAUUGUAAGCAUUAUUCUAUUUGUUAGGGUGAUGAAAUUUAGAACUUGUAUUUAAAUAUGGGUGUCUCUGACUUUCUGAAUAUUUAGAAUCUCCCACAUAAAGAAGUGAAUCUACACUGUACACAAUUGAACAGAGACAAAAAGAUCAGCUUUGCAUUUGCUUCUCAACCCCUCUCUGCACGUUACAGAUAGCAUUACCUUUCUGAGUGAUGGAAGUGAUAAUAUUGUGUAUUAUACUUUGAUGAUGAUGAUGAUGAUGAUGAUGACGAAAACGACAACAAUGAUGAUUAUGAUGAAGGAAUUAACAAUGAGGAUUAUGAUGAGUAUGAUGAUUCCAUACUAUACUGGUGGUUAAAAACAGUGUUUAUGAACAGACACUUGAGGAUCAGGAAGAAGUCCUGGCCUUCUCCUGUGGUCCAUAUGUGCCACCAUCUAUGUUACCAGCAGUGGGGAUUAGAAUGCAAAGUGGUAUAUGAAGUGCCAGCUCUUUGAAAGGAAUGUGAGAUUAAGAACCUGGAGAAAAUAUUUUCUCCUCGUGUUGGGCAUCUAAAAGGAAGAGGCUCCCUCAUUCACAUGUGCUCCUCCUCGCACAAACGCUUGCACACAGUGAGUACUCGGUUUACUGGGCUGCAGAUAAAAGGGAAGAAGUAAUUCCUUCUCAUUCUAAGGAAACUAUAGAGUCUUUUAGUUCAAGAGAUCAAAGCUGCAUUAACUCUUCCAGUUACUGCCAUUUGCCAUUUACUAUCAUUUAGCGCUCUGGAAAAGGUAAUCUACUAAAUAGUACCCAAGUGGCCUGACAAUUUAUUAAGUGAGCAAUUUAUUCUUUUCUCGCUACUAGGAUCAAACCAUUCACCAUUCAGAUUCUUCACAUUCCUCAGGGAUAACAAGGUGGAAAAGCAUCUUUGUCUUACAGAUGGGGAAACUAAGGUUUAGUCCUGAAUCAAAUCAGCAGAAGUGGGGGGAGAAGGACUUUCCCCUGCUUACCCUGAUUCGCUAGUCCCCAUUAUCCCUUCAUAAAUUUAGGAUUGAGUGAUUUAAGUUUUUCAGGCCCCAAGAAAAGGCUCGAGCUUUCUCUUUGACCAAAUCUAUAUCAAAGAGGAGCUGCAUUUGGGUUUCAGGGAUAAUAUCAGUCUGUAGCUUCUGAGGAAGAGGGCACUGGUAGAGAUGGAUAAGAACAUGGACUAAUUUAGUGAAUAAAGUGAUAGACAAGAAAGAGUACAUUAUUGUCUGGUGAUGGAAAGGAGGAGUUGAAAAUAUUUGAAGCUUUUCAUUCUUUGCCAGCAGUUAUCAAAAGGAAAAUUCAGGCUGAAAUCAUGCUGAUGCUAAAACCGAUCAUUUAAAACUUAUCCAUGCCUCCCAUUGUUCACAUUAGAAGAGAGUAUUUCCUACCUCGCCUCUCUCCCACCCCUCUGCAGCCUGCGGCCAGGUGGCCUCAAGCCAGCAGGCCCCUCACUGCAAACUGAAGAAGCUGGUAGUGUCCUCAGAGCCAUGGUGGUAACAAAGCUCCUGGCCUGCUUUAUCAUCCUGUCAAGGGCUCACAGAGAUCCCCUCUUCCUGAAAACGAGCAGCAAGGACCACAAUUUCACAGGACAGUGGUGACGAUACUGAGUAGAAGACAAAGUCAUAACAUCACUGUACAUUUGAAUGGAGGGGAUUUAGAAACCAUCCACCCAGUGCAUGAAUUCCUCUCUACAACAUCAGAGAUGUUGGAGAACGACCUUUACAUACGUACCCUCAUCUAAAUCCAUUUGAAGGAUCGUAAACCAUUUUAAGGAUAAAGUAAUGAAGAAACUUCCAUGGGGACCGAGAGUUACUUAGUUCUAUCUGAAACUAAAUACACUUCUCGUGGUGUCACCAGAAUCGGAUGUGUUUUCAGAUCUCCGGAUGAAGCUGCAUUUUUGACAAAGUAACUACAGUAUAUUCACUUUUCUCUUGUCCUUAGUAUAAGAAUUAACAUGGAGAUUUUCUGAAUCAUUUUGAUGUUUUUAGCACUGACAGUUUUUCAUCAUUUUUGACUAGCAUAGAACAGGAAAGUUGCAGGUAAGAUCCUCUCUUCUUUAGGCUUCAGUGAUUCUGGCAGUCUUCCAGGAAACAACAAGCCCAUGUGUGCCUCCUCUUUGCCUUCGAAAGAUACCCAACUUAUCUCUGAGAGCUCCAGAAGUACAUGUUUUUUGAGAGAAUUGUUCUGCCUGAAUCCAAAGGAGGUAAUAGAAUCCCUGAAUCAUAAUUUAUAUUUUGAGAUCUCAUUAGUUACUUAGUAUAUAACAACUACCAAUGGAAGAUUCUUACCACUGUUACUUUGCUUCAAUUAUUCCCAUCUUUAAAGCAGAUGUGGGCAUUUGGGUUCUUUUCAUACUUUGAAGGAAACAUAUAUUGAAUUGUGAGAGCGUGCAAUGUAAAACUUCAAUUGAUAAAAGUAUCAAAGGUAAGCUAAUAUAAAACCUUAUUCACUCAAUAUCCCAAUGAUAUGGGGGCAGUCGUAAUAUACAGCUAACAUGUAGAAGUCCUCAAAUGUUAAGACACAGCCUUCUACUUUUUGUGGAGGGGAACAGAAAACCACAAAUAAUUUUGUGCACUUUCUGUCUGGGUGGUCUUGGACAAACCAACAUUUGUCUUUGUAGCCAAAGACACUUCUUACCUUUCUGGUCAUAUGUUCCUUGAUUAUCUGCAGUAUUUAUCAUAGUAAUAAUUUCCAUCUUCUUGAAACAUUUUUUUCUGGCUUCCAUAAUAUCAUGAUCUCCUACUUUUCCCAGUGGGACACUAAUUCUCCUUUUCAGACCGCUUUACUAUCUAUGUAUUCAUCCUCUACCAUACCUUAGGCCCUCACUUCUUCUGUGUAUACACAUGCUUUCUGCUUAUUGAAUUCACUCAGUCACAUGGAUUUAAACAGCAUCCAUAAGCUAGACUUUUAACAUCUUACUGCCUAUCUGACAUUUCCACAUGGGUAUCUAUUAGCCAUAUCAAACCUAUGACCCCCGAACCAAAAGUAAGCCCAAGACUCUCUUCCCUCUGUCUUUCCCAAUUCAAUAAGUGACACCACCAUCUCCUCAGCAACUCAGGCUAAAAUUCUAGGUGUCGUCCUUGAUUUCUACAUUUUGUUUACCCUCAGCAUCCAAUUUUUCAUCUAGCCUUGAUGAUUCUGCUCCAAAACAAAUUUCACACGUAAACAAUUCUUUCUCCACUAUUACCAGCAUGGCCUAAACCACCGUGCCUGCCUUGCCGUGGCAUUCUAUCCGGUCACUUUCCUUCUGUUCUUUUCUUCCUUCAUACAUUCUCCACACCACAGUCAUCCUAUCCUUUCACUGUAUAAUCAUACCACAUCACCCUCCCAUUUAAAAACUUUCCAAUAGUUAGCAUCAGAAAAAAAAAUCCAAAUUUUCUACACUGGCUUGCAAAGCUUGCAUGACGCCUGUCCCUGCCUAUCUCUCUCUCUUCUUUUAUGGUCCUCUUUUCAUUAUGCACAAGCCACAAUGAGCUUUUUCCCCUCCCCUGUUUGUCAUUCAUUCAUGGCUUGUUAAGGCACUACAACUUUUCAUUAAUUAGUACCUCUGCCUAGAAUGCUCUUCUCCAUCUUUGCCAACUGGCUUCUUCUUAUCAUUCAUCUAUCAGCUUAAAUACCAUAUCUUCAAAGAAGACUUUCCAAUCAGCCCUGCAUCCUCCUUGGAGAAAGGCCCUCAUGCGUCUUGUUCGUAGCUCCAUCCCCCAACACCCAGAACAUGACUAGCACUUGGUGGACGCUCAAUAAAUAUUUGUUGAGUGAAUGAAUGGGCUUCAUUUUUCUUAACUGUAAGAUGAAGGAAUUAGAUUGGAUAAUGGUGAAGCCCUUUUUAGUUCAAUUGUAUUAAGUAUACGAGUUGGUUACCAGUAAUUUAGGGCAUUCAUAUCGAAUCUGCUCUAUUCCAAUAUAUUUUUCCACUUGAAAAGAUUUUCUUUCCCAAUGAUAAAAGCGAUUAAUAACUGAUAUUGUUGAGCAUGAAGAUGUCAUAUCUUUUGGAGGUAAUGUUAACUGUGGCUAUUUUUAUUAGCCAAAAGUACCAGCACCCUUUUUAUAAAGCUGUUUUGACACAAAUCUGCUGUUAGUGUUUGAUUUAUUUGUCCACAGCAAAAAAUUUAUAUGCUAAUAGGGAUGUAAAUAGAGAUGAGGCGAUACAUAGCAUUUUAUAAUUUAUCAUCAUAUCAGGUCUUAUAGUUUUUAAUAGAAAAGAUAGAGAAACACACUGUUAAGACUAACACAUAAUGAAAAUCUAUGCAUGUCUCACUUUAUUCUCUUUACAUGUAUACUUCUCUUACUGCCUCUACAAGAUACACACCUAUUUCAGGAUGGUGUGAUUUAAUUCAUUUAUCCAAGCUUUUAAGAACUUUUGCUGUCCAGUUUUAUGGUUAUCAUUACCUAUCAUCUUUUACCAUCUGGAUGAAUUUCUUGAAAACAGUAUGUAUAUCAUACUCUACUGUGUCUUAAAAUGUCCUUAUCAUCUGAGGACUUAGAAAUAAUCUCAAAUAUAAACACAAAAUAGUUGUCCAUAUAUUUCAGAGAUUUAUAUGGCUAAAGUUUCCUGUUUUAUAUUUUUCUCUGAUUGCUUCAUUUGCCAGCCUCAUCUUCUGGAUCUUCUUAAAAGAAAUGAUUGUUUCUUAUACACCCCGUUGCUUUUGAGUCUUGCAUGAAAACUACAUAUGCCUGUGAAGAGUUAAAUGUUAAAUAACUAAGCAGCUUCUUUAAUUUGGUUUUUGGUCUCCCAAACUAAAGUUAUUUUUAUGUUUUAUCUACCCAACACUAAAGUAUCAGUGCCAUCAUGGAAUUACUUCUUACAAUUCAUUACAUUAAAUAGUGGCUAUAAUUAUAGACACAUCCCAGUGUAUUUUACAACUGUGUCCUUUCUUUUGCAUAGAUGCAGAUCCAUAUUCCAGGGUAAAGCAAAGGCUUGUAUUAUUUGGUCACCUUCCCAAUAGGUCAUUUCUGCAGCAUUUUCCCAAAGUGAGACAGUCAGUCUCAAACACACAGAGCCUAUGACCUUAUCCUAUGAUGAUUUUUUAGUUAUUAUUGAAAGAUAGUUGACAUACAACAUUACAUAGGACUUAAUGUUAGUUACAUGGAGGGGAGUCUUACACCAAAUAUAUGGACCCAUAUAUGGGAAACAUGAACACAUUGUCAUUAUCACUUGAUAGCUGAUAGUUAUAGUGGAAAACAAACAAACUACCCUUUCUUUUUCAGGAGAACACGAUCUUUAAGCCACAUUCCAUUUAUCUAUAUCAAUGUUUGCAGAAGUAAAUAUCUUAGGGUACCACCCACGUAGUUAUUUGUUGAUUCAUUCCUGUAGUCUAUCAAUCUUUUUUCAAUUCGGGGUGCACGGCUAGGGUAGUGUGGCAGCAUAUAUUGCAUCUCUAUGAUAAUUUAAUUUAACUGUAGUGCGCUGGGGUCUAGAUUGCUCCUCUUAGCAGCCAGAGGUGACCGCAAACAGUGCCAGGGCCUAGAUUGUUGUCAGCAAUAAUUACUGGCUAAAGAGAGCUUUGACAGAAAAUGACAUUCUGGAGAAAUAUCCAUCAACAAGAGUCAGAGUGUAUAUAAGGAUAUAUAUAAGGGUAUUUUAACAAAACCAUAAAUUUCUUUGUCAAAACAGGUUGUAAUUUAUUAGCUAACCAAGUCUCUAAACUGCAUUUGCAUCUUUGUUUAAGUCUGUAUGGUAUGUGUUUGCUUCAGGCAUAUUUCCUUAAUGGGUUUAUAUAUGUGCUGAUAAUCUGGAAAUGAAGUAAAUGGCUGGGCUAAAUACUGGAGAGAGUACAAAAGGAAAGAAGGGGAAAAAAAAAUUUUGCUCAUAUAUUUUCUCAUUUUUCUACUCACACAAUAAAAAUUCAACUUUAAAAAUCAAAGGAAAGAAGUAAAUGGCUCUUCCCUCUUUAAUUACCAUACUUAGGAAGAACUGUAAGUACACACACCAUUUCAGCAAAUAGCAUUGGAUCUGAGUGAUGCCAUAUGAUGCUGAACUAAAAUGUUUGCCUUAGAAAGUGCUCUUUCGACAUGUGCUGGCUUUCUCAGCCCUUAUUUCUGUGAAAUAGAAGUCAAAAGAAAAUGAUAGGUAUCCCAAUGCUAUGACUGCAUAAUGCUCUCCCACCCCCACUCCCAGCCUUUUAGGCUAACCUUCUUGGAAAGUAUCCGUGAGCAAAACAAAACAAAAACCCACUAUUGGGCUAAGUUAGCACAUCUCUAGGUGGUUAUAGAAACAAACUGAUUUUCAUAUGGGUUUACAUUAGCUACAAAAUAAUGACUAAAGCGCUCUGUCCUAGUGACACCGCUUAGCAACGGCUCGCUGAAGGCUGUGAGAUUUCUGGUUAGCAAUUUAGCCUUCCUGGUAAGAACGAGUGGAAUGUUUGUUUACACAAUCCAUUUGAGAAGAGGAAGAAUGAAAAUAGCCCCGAGGCUAUCAUGAACAUUAAGAAGAAAAGAGUAUGUUUGGAAAACUUCAUCUUAGUUAGAAAGUUUUCUAACACUGCUGUCCCAAACAAAAUGAAAGGAGAGGAAAUCAGAAGGCAGUCCCACUGUCCAGUAGCUUGUUCUUCAGGAGCCCCAGAUCCUGGUGACUGAAACAUUUUCUCAGACAGACGUUAUCGUACUCUCCCUCUUCCUGAAGCAAUGUCUCCAUUCAUCCCAAUGGGGUUAUUGCUGCAUAGUGAUGAGGAAUCUCAGGGUUGUAAGUGACUUCAACUUCCAUCUUGUCAAGUACUCAAACCCUCAUUCCAGCGUUAACAUGACAAAGUUCUUCUUUCAUGACGAGGAUCUUUCAUUUCUUUGUCUACUCCACGAGAAAGGCUUUAAUAGUAAGGGAGCUCCUAGAAGGAGUUAUUUCAAACCAUACAUAUAUUCCUCAUUUGAGGUAUUUACUCAUGAUGAGCUUGGUCUGUAACAAAGAAGCCAGCAUAUGUUUUACUCUACCUUGUAUUUUUC